rnacentral:lncRNA from 1 species
GAGCAUGUUGAGUUAAAGCCUGUAAAGCCUGUAGGUCGAACUAAGUAAUGAACGUUCACUCAAGACUUCUGCUGUUGUAGCUGAAGAAACAGAUGUUAAAAGAAAAGACCAACCUUGUAACUCAUCGUUCUGGAAGAAACGCAUUGUCCGUUUAUCACGGCACGUGGAUUGUUCUUCCCACAGGCUCAGUGUCAUUAUCAGCGUUGUUAUUUGGUAGAACCUUGUAGAUGAUCUUGGAUUUUUGAAUGAUUUACUUAUAUGGACACUUGUAAAUUGUAAAUUUUUUCUUUUUUAAUUUUAAUAUUUUUACAACAUUUAAUGUUAAGGCAUGAAAACAAAACCUGUGAAAACUAUGAGAAGAGUGCAUCUCUCUCAAGGAAGUCAGUAUUUUUUAACUGAUAGAAUCAUACUGUGCCUGGUAAAAAUCGUGUCAAUAAACAAUGAUUUGGAAUCCAAAAAAUACAGCAGGAGUUAAAUCCUAAUGGUGCAAAGGAGCUCAUUUCCAUGCUGUGUUUUGAAAUUCUCAGUGUCCACUCCUUGGUUUCUUUGAACUGCUGUAUGCAGUAGGAA